UCCUGCACAUCCUGAGCCACGUCCCCAGCAUAGACUUGAUUCUGAACGUCCGGCGCACCUGCCGGAAGCUCGCAGCGCUGUGCCUGGACAAGAGCCUCACCCACACGGUGCUGCUGCAGAAGGACUAUGAGGUUCACUCAUGCCGUGGCAGCGUCAGGAUCUCAUUCCUCUCCAUGCCGAGUAGAAGUCCACUGCAUGGAUGGACCCCACUGCCUUCAUCUGUUCGUCCGCUGAUGGACGGCUGGGUUGUUGCCACCUUCCGGUUGUUGUGAACGGUUCUCCGUGGACAUGGGUGUGCAGGAGUCUGAGUCCCCGCUUUCAGUCCCCUUGGGUGCACACCUGGCUGUGGAACUGUGGGUCACGUGGUAACUGUUUAGCUUUUGGAGGAGCCACCAGACUUUUCCACAGGGGCUGCCCCAUCUUCCAUUCCCGCCUGGCCGAGACUCCUGACUGUCGGUGGAAGGCCAGCGAGGACAAGGUGAAGCGGCUGGUGACGGAGAUCGGCCGGGAGGUCCAGCAGCUCAGCAUGGCCGGCUGCUACUGGCUGUCGGGCAGCACGGUGGAGCACGUGGCCCGCUGCCGCGGCCUGGUGAAGGUGAACCUCUCGGGCUGCCACCUGACCUCCCUGCGCCUCUCCAAGGUUCUGUCGGCCCUGCAGCGCCUGCGCUCCCUGGCCAUCGACGUGAGCCCCGGCUUCGACGCGAGCCAGCUGAGCGGCGAGUGCAAGGCCACGCUGAGCCGCGUGCGGGAGCUCAAGCAGACGCUGUACACGCCCUCGUACGGCGUGGUGCCCUGCUGCACCAGCCUCGAGAAGCUGCUGCUGUACUUCGAGAUCCUGGACCGCACGCGCGAGGGCGCCGUGCUCUCGGGCCAGCUCAUGGUGGGCCAGAGCAACGUGCCGCGCUACCAGCACCUGCGCGUCUUCUACGCCCGCCUGGCCCCCGGCUACAUCAACCAGGAGGUGGUGCGCCUGUACCUGGCCGUGCUCAGCGACCGCACGCCCGAGAACCUGCACGCCUUCCUCAUCUCCGUGCCCGGCAGCUUUGCCGAGAGCGGGGCCACCAAGAACCUCCUGGAGUCCAUGGCCCGCAACGUGGCGCUGGACGCGCUGCAGCUGCCCAAGUCCUGGCUCAACGGCUCGGCCCUCCUCCAGCACAUGAAGUUCAGCAGCCCCUUCUACUUCAGCUUCAGCCGCUGUGCCCUGUCCGGCGGCCACCUGGUCCGGCGCGUCAUCGACGGCGGCAGGGACCUCCGGAGCCUGGCCGGCCUGAACCUCAGCGGCUGUGCGCACUGCCUGGCGCCCGACUCCCUGCUGCGCAAGGCGGAGGACGACAUCGACAGUGGCAUCCUGGAGACGCUGGUGGCGGCCUGUGGCAACCUGCGGCACCUCAACCUCUCGGCUGCCCACCACCACAGCCCCGAGGGCCCCGGCCGGCACCUGUGCCAGCUGCUGGCCCGGCUCUGCCACCUGCGCUCCCUGUCGCUGCCCGUCUGCGCCGUCGCUGACUCGGCGCCACGGGCCGACCGUGCGCCCGUCCAGCCUGCCACGCACGCCGUGCCCCGCGGCUUCGGCAAGAAGGUCCGUAUCGGCGUGCCGUCUGGCCCUGACCCUUUCUCCGGGCAGGCGGGCCCCCUGCCAUCCUCUGUGUUCUGGUCGCUGCUGAAGAGCGUGCCCUUCCUGGACCGCCUCGAGCUGAUCGGGUCCAACUUCUCGUCUGCCAUGCCGCGCAACGAGCCCGCCAUCCGCAACUCGCUGCCCCCCUGCGGCCGGGCGCAGAGUGUGGGGGACUCGGAGGUGGCCGCCAUCGGCCAGCUGGCCUUCCUGAGGCACCUGACGCUGGCCCAGCUGCCCAGCAUCCUGACAGGCUCCGGGCUGGUCAGCAUCGGCCUCCAGUGCCAGCAGCUCCAGUCCCUCUCCCUGGCCCACCUGGGCACGAUGGGCAAGGUGGCCUACAUGCCCGCCCUCUCGGACAUGCUGAAGCACUGCAGGCGGCUGAAGGACCUCAGGCUGGAGCAGCCCUACUUCAGCGCCAACGCCCAGUUCUUCCAGGCGCUGAGCCAGUGCUCUGCGUUGCAGCGCCUGUGCCUGGUGUCCCGCAGCGGCACCCUGCAGCCCGAGGCCGUGCUGGCCUUCAUGGCGCGCUGCCUGCACGUGGUCGUGUGCCACCUGUUCACCGGCGAGUCGCUCAGCACCUGCCGGAGCCUGCAGCAGUCCCUCCUCCGCAGUUUCCAGGCCGAGCGGCCCGCGCUGAACGUCGUCAUCUUCCCUCUGCUCCACGAGGGCCUGACCGAUGUCAUCCGAGACGUUCCCAUGGUGCACCUGGACGAGGUCACCUUAUUUAAAAGCAGAGUGGCCGAGGAGCCGCCAAAUCUGUGGUGGUGACCGGAGCGGGCCCCCACCUGCCCGUCGCCGCCUGUGGCCGCUGCGCCUCCGUGGCCGAGGAGGCAGGACUGCCCCGGACAGGAUUUGAAAAUUGCUGAGACCUUGUGAGAAGCAGUAAGAGAAGUUCGUGGGUGAGGAUGGUGCAGCGCGGCCGGGGCAGCAGGCCCCCCCCCCACGGCUUCAGCCGCAAACCCGAGGUGAGGGGGACAUGGGCGCUGACCCCUGUGGUUCUUGUGGCCUCAGCCCCAGUCCCCCUCCCCCUCUGACAGGAUAGGGGCGAGGUUGUGCUGAGGGGCUCGGGGGAUGGUCGCCGGUCUUGUCUGCAUCUACUGCACAGGAUUCCACUGGGCGGGAUGAGCAAAUACCCACAGGAAUUCAAACAAACUUCGGUCCGACACAGGCCAACCCACAUCAUCUAAAUUACUUUCUAAAGCUCUUUCAAAAGCCAGUGAAGUGUGAGGUUUUGCAUUGAUGUCACAGGGUCAGGGCACCCACUGCGCCAGACUCCAAGCCGGCCGGCCCCGAGGCCUCCCCGCUGUGCCCACUGCACUGGCGGGGGUACGAGAUGUGAGGGUGCUUUCGCACGUGUGGCCGUGGGCACGUGGCACCCCGCAGCCACUGGCGGCGCUCAGCCCCGGGACCGCUGCCCUCUGACCAUCGCCCAUCUGCCUGCCCCUCUGACUGGACAGUCUCGCUCAGCACGUUACCAGUGGUAAGAGGGGUGAGGUGAGUUGCCAGGGUUUCUCACGGCACGUGCGUGACCAGGUGCUAAACGACCGAAUACACGUCACCUGCCUUUUGAUGACAAACCUCCUGUCCUCUGGUGAGGCCACUCCUGAAUUUCUCGUUCCAGCUACAUUUUGAAUGGGUAUUUUCAUGUAAAUUUGUGGCAUGUGAAAAGUUUCAAAU